UGGUGGUGUUUUUUUUUUGUUGUUUUUGUGUGUAGCGAAGAAUAACAAUAAUAACAACCUUGACAAGGCGCAUACACAACACAACGAUAGGCCGCACUAGUGCCAGAGAUUCUCACUACCUUGGAAGGUAGACCUUGUGGACGAUUCCUAAAGUUAUCAUUCCAUUUUAAAUAAAGAGACAAUACAACACACUGCUUAGCUCAUCAGCUGUCCAGGUUCCUGGAUCCAGGUUCCAUGAAGGAGUAGCUUCAACAGAGAUAGAACACCAGAAUGAAAUUCUAUCAAAGACAAAUGACAGAGAAGAAUGGAGAAAGAAGGUUGACAGAUCUUGUGUGGUGCCUCAGCGGUCCAGCAGAUCAAAGGAUAGGUGAAAGUGAAUGUGAAGUUAGAUGUGAACCUGGCCUAACUGAAAUUUAUAAUGAAUGAUCUAGGUGUUUCGUAAAGGGUCAAUCUCUUAUUCCUCAAGAUACAAAAUAUCUCCGUAAAAAAAAAAGUCAUUUAGUUAAGUGUUCUAUUGCUGUGUUAAUGCACUGCAGUUUACGUGAUAAUAUGAAAAACUAAUUAUUAAUUGUUGUUUUAAAAAUAUGUCAAACUUAUAUGCAUACUUAAUAGAUU